AUAUAUAUGCCAAUACAGAGUAUUACACUUCAACGUGCUGACAGAAUAUAUCACCCACUUAUGCCUUCACGUAAUGGAAGUACACUUCAACAGUCACCAAAGUUGUUGACUUUAUAAUCUAUUGAUAUGAUUUAAUACCGUGUAACAGAUGUAUACAUUAUUUAUCGCCUUUUGUCAUGUCAUUAUACAUGUAUCCUUGAACGUUAACUUUAUUUUAUCGUUAUUGUUUUAUGUCGCAAUGGUUUAGAUAAUGAAGGAAGAGAUUAGAACUACUGUCUAUAAAAGAUUAAUCAACAAGGAAGAUCCCAGAAAUUCUCGUUUCUGUUUUUUGUAUAUAUUAGACCGUUGGUUUUCCCGUUUGAAUGAAUUACACGAGUAAUUUUGGCUAUAUAGCUUACUGUUCGGUCUGAGCCAAGGCCGUACUUUGACCUUUAAUGGUUUUUCUUUUACGAACUGUGACUUGGAUGGACAGUAGUCUCAUUGGAACUCAUACCAUAUAUUUUUAGAUAUAAAACAGAACCAUGACUUUCCAACGUUGAUUACUUAUUUCCUUAUACAGACUGGAUAAAAGCUUUAAAAUGCUAAAAUGAGUAAUAUGCUUUCGUUAUCCAGCAAGUAGCUGCUGCGAAACGUACCAAUAUAAAUAUAAGAAGAUGUGGUAUGAUUGCCAAUGAGGCAUAUCUGCACCAGAGACCAAUUGACAUAUAAGUUAAUAACUGUAGGUCACUGUGCGGCCUGCAACAAUGAGCAAACCCAUACAGCAUAGUAAGCUAUAAAAGUCAUCGAAAUGACAAAUGUAUAAUAGUUGAAGGAUAAAGCUAAUAGCCUGAUUAAUGUACCAAACAAUCAAUAUAAAAACAAAUACAUUAAAGAGCAACAAACGACAACCACUGAAUAACAGGAUCCUGACUUGGGAUAGGCACAUAUAGAAUGUGCCGGGGUUAAACAUAAUUGUUAGCGCAAACACCUCCCCCCAACCUACGACAGUGUUCUACUUCAACAAUGCGACAUAAGAACAAACUAUAACAAUCUAGGAAGUUUACAACUGGUUUUUAUUCUCAUGUUGCAAUGAAGCAUUGUCUUGCUCAAUGGACAGGGGCUGCUGAACAUUUGUGUUCCUUAUUCAUUGUUAAAAUGCUUUCUAGUUAAUAAAAAAAAACCAAGAUGAUACUUUUCAUCAGCGGUUUGUACGAAUAAAAUGAUGUUUGGUGUAUACUUCAAUGAGACAGUUGACCGAACGACUAAAAAAGAAUGAUAAAUAAACUGUUCGGCUUAGGGUAUGAAUGGCUGUUUGAUGGUUGCAUGUUUAUGAUGUAGUAAAACGUCUUUUGUUCAUAGAGGAUGGUUGCGGUUACGGUGUUCUAGGGAGAUUCGUUUGAUAGCUGGGUAGUU
rnacentral:lncRNA from 1 species